rnacentral:lncRNA from 1 species
UGAGUAACAGCAGAUCGUAGAAGUGUCGACAAGACGCAAAGCCAAGAGGCAGCAGAAGUCAGCUAGGCGGCCAACAGCAGCUGGAAUAUGCGAUGGUCGCUGGUCACUGGUGUACCGUACUGUGUGUGACGUGUUGAUUGAGCGCUCAAUGGUUGGUGUAAGCGACGGCUGCUCAUAGUUUUUCGUCGUUCGUUGGCCUUUGGCCGUUUCUAGGUGGUGUGCUGAUGAAUUCUGCCGUUCAGUUGUUGGAUGGUCGGUUGCCAGCUUGACGUGCUGUGCUGUGGUGCUGUGUCGUGUUUGUGCAUUUGAAGUGAACAAGGUACUGAAACGACUGCGCAUUACUAUCAAUAAUUAGCGCAAAAUGAGUGGAAUUACAACAGAAUCAAUAAAAAAGUAACCGAUAAUGGAAGCUAAUAUUCUGAAAAUAUUCGACAUUACUUACUGUUAAUUUUCAAGUAUGCGAAUAUACGUAGAUAAAUAAAUUAAUAUAUAGACAUUUGUUCGAAGUUCGAAAAUUGUGCUAUUUUCCGAUACACAAAUAAAAUAAUGGUACGACGAAAAAGGCGAAAAAGUGCUUGUAAUGAGAAAUAACAUCUAAAAUGUAAAAGUGCGAAAUAAAACUGGAAAUAAACGCAUAUAAUUAAUAACUAAAAAUGUUUGCGAACUACGCAGUUGACCAACUAGCUACGACGCGGCCAUGGAGCUUGGCGAAUGCUCAGUUAGUGUCGUUGGGGAGGAAUUCGCCGAUCAUGCCGCUCAUGGCAAUGGUGUUGACAGUAAUAGAGUGCAGCUCAUACCAAAAAAAAAAGCCUGACUUCAGCUCAAAUGCCUUCCCGUGGAGCUUUUGGUGUUUUAUGCUACUGGCGUAAGAAGUGUCAGCGCCGCAGUUGUCGUAUCUUUGUAUCGUCGUUUCGUUAUGUGGGCACACGAAAACUAUUCGUUCCACCGAAUUGUUGUUCGCUGUACGAAUGCGCUACCGAAAACCGAGGCGGAUUCGGAAUUUAACGACAACGAGUAAUGUCGCCGAAACUUAAGUUCUUCUUUAAUUGUUAUUAUUAUUAAUAUUGUUAGUGUUGUUGUAUUUGUAGUUGUCGAGAAGGCCAACCUCGUCGGUAUGGUUGACGACUUUAUAGCGCCACUUGCGCCACUUGAACAACUAAUUUAGGGCGAAAGCAAUAACAACAAGCAGAGUAGCAAUAAGAAGAACAACAAUGACGACAAUAAUAUUCGUAACAACAAUAAAUGAGGCUAAGACAAUAAAGUGAAAAUGUGAACUUUGAAACAAAUGAUUUUUCUAACCAAUUUAAGAGGCCCGACACACGCACACACACAUACAUAUAUGUAUGUAUGUAUGAAAAAGACGAAACGGAGCAAUGGAUUAUAUUUGGAUGAAUUUAGCCACGAGAAUACAUAUAUUUACAUACAUGCAUUGUUGGUAUAACACCGAAAGCAUUGACAAUCUUAAACUGGAUCAAUGACAAUCGUUUUUAAGUGCGACGGUGCCACGCAACUAACUGCAAUGCAAACAUCAGUGAUCAGCUCUAGAAGUGGACAACUGAAAUGUGCCUUCCUGAUUUAGAGGUUGUCUAACGUAUACUAGUAACAUGGUGAUAUGACGUAUUUUAUAUAUACUUACAUACUUGUAAAUAUUUGCUGGGAAUGCGUUAGUAAAAAACAUGCAAAGAUUUCCUGCUGGGGCUGUGACGACAAUGCGUACAAAUUUAAAUAAUUUGUAAACAUGAUAAUAGAGAGUAUAAAGAAGCUCAAAUGCGAUAGCAAGCUCAAAUGCCAAACAACAACAACAAUAAUAAACAAUCAGAGGAAAUUAAGCAAUCAAAAGUAACACAAAUGUAGUCGCACAAAUAAAAUAGAAAAGGGGAGAGCGGAAGCAGAAACGCCAUCACCGCUUUGCAAAUGAAAUGGAAAUUGAAAAGCCCAGACAACGACAAUAACAACGACAGCAACCACUUCAGCGAAAACACUUCCGUCACAAUGAGUACUACGAACAAAUGAAACUAAAACAGACUUUGCACCAAUUUUCAAUGGCACGAGCGUCGAGAACAUUGAACUAUUUUCCACUUUUUACGGCGUGUAUAUAUUUUUAUGGGAAGUGUUGAGUUAUAUCGACGCCAACCGACUUCUACGCAAAUAUAUGCACCUAUUUAAAAAAGAAUAGAUAUAAACACACGGACAUGCACACAUGCUUGCCCAAAAUCGUGCUUGUAUGAAAACGUAAGCGAUUCUAAGUGAGCAGCGGAACAGUGAACAGCGAACGAAGUACUCUACAAUCAGAAAUCAACGAGCAGCAACGGUCAGUAACUUACUAGCAACGUCUCCUCUUCCCAAAAAAACAAAAUAAUAAUAUUAUUAAUAAUAAUGAAGAACGACUGAGACUGUCUUUGUUUGUAGCCGAAUAGAAUGGCAUGAAACGGAGCCUGAGACUGGCACGGGAGUGAGUGCACUCUUAUCUGUAAACCGCGAUCUACACCGACUCGACACCAAUCCACAUGAAAAUCGAACACUCACACAUACAAUCAGCGAUGACAUCGUUUUACGAAUUCGCUUCGCCGCUUUUGCGUUUAUUGAAUGGGAUAAGUACAUCGCCAUAAACAGAUAUUGUAUGGAGCUGCAAGCAAGCACCCCAAAACGAAAACAGAAACCUAAAAAAAAACUGGAGAUUUUCAAAAUGAAAACAAACAUUGUGGAAGCAAAGCGCAGCUGAUAAGCUGGAGGUACUCACACGCUGUUCCGUCACCAUCUGCAGUCAGAACACUCCGGGUCAAUACUCGUGGCAGCACCCAAUGCGCCUCCGGACAGUUGAUUACUCCAUACCCCAUCAACAUCGGGGUUUUUAUGCCGUUUUUGUUGUUUUUUCAAAUGGCUGGUAAAAUGGAAAUCCUAAUUAAUUGCAGUUCUUACAAGCAAG